AGUCACUGACAUUACGAUACCCCCGUAGUCCCAGCCGUAAACUAUGCGCGUUAGGUGUACUGGUGACCACGAGUCACCGGGGUGCCGAAGGGAAACCGUGAAACGUGCCGCCUGGGAAGUACGGUCGCAAGGCUGAAACUUAAAGGAAUUGGCGGGGAGCACCACAACGGGUGGAGCCUGCGGUUUAAUUGGACUCAACGCCGGAAAUCUCACCGGAUAGGACAGACAUAUGAUAGUCGGGCUGAAGACUCUACUUGAUGGUCUG
rnacentral:rRNA from 1 species